rnacentral:rRNA from 1 species
UACGUAGGGGGCUAGCGUUGUCCGGAAUCAUUGGGCGUAAAGCGCGUGUAGGCGGCCCGAUAAGUCCGCUGUGAAAGUCGGGGGCUCAACCCUCGAAAGCCGGUGGAUACUGUCGGGCUAGAAUCCAUCAGAGGCAAGCAGAAUUCCAGGUGUAGUGGUGAAAUGCGUAGAGAUCUGGAGGAAUACCAGAGGCGAAGGCGGCUUGCUAGGGUGGAAUUGACGCUCAGACACGAAAGCAUGGGGAGCGAACGGG